UACGAAGGGGGCUAGCGUUGUUCGGAAUCACUGGGCGUAAAGCGCACGUAGGCGGGCGUGUCAGUCAGGGGUGAAAUCCCGGAGCUCAACUCCGGAACUGCCUCUGAUACAGCACGUCUUGAGUUCGAGAGAGGUGGGUGGAAUUCCGAGUGUAGAGGUGAAAUUCGUAGAUAUUCGGAAGAACACCAGUGGCGAAGGCGACUCACUGGACACGUAUUGACGCUGAGGUGCGAAAGCGUGGGGAGCAAACAGG
rnacentral:rRNA from 1 species